AUUGAACGCUGGCGGCAGGCCUAACACAUGCAAGUCGAACGGUAGCACAGAGGAGCUUGCUCCUUGGGUGACGAGUGGCGGACGGGUGAGUAAUGUCUGGGAAACUGCCCGAUGGAGGGGGAUAACUACUGGAAACGGUAGCUAAUACCGCAUAAUGUCGCAAGACCAAAGAGGGGGACCUUCGGGCCUCUUGCCAUCGGAUGUGCCCAGAUGGGAUUAGCUAGUAGGUGGGGUAACGGCUCACCUAGGCGACGAUCCCUAGCUGGUCUGAGAGGAUGACCAGCCACACUGGAACUGAGACACGGUCCAGACUCCUACGGGAGGCAGCAGUGGGGAAUAUUGCACAAUGGGCGCAAGCCUGAUGCAGCCAUGUCGCGUGUAUGAAGAAGGCCUUCGGGUUGUAAAGUACUUUCAGCGAGGAGGAAGGUGUUGAGGUUAAUAACCUCAGCAAUUGACGUUACUCGCAGAAGAAGCACCGGCUAACUCCGUGCCAGCCGCCGCUGUAA
rnacentral:rRNA from 1 species